rnacentral:lncRNA from 1 species
ACUAUCAUUAAGAUGAUUGAAAAACUCUUUAACCAUUGGCAGAGUUUGUAUAUAAUAAUUUGGUACAUUCUUCCACUCAAAGAAAAUCUUUUUUUGUCAAUUAUGGUUAUCAUCGACGUUGUCGUAAUACAUGAAGUCUUGCUUGAGAAUGCUCCGGACACCUGGCUGUGGAAGGUAGAAUGGAAAUUGCAACAAUAAAAUCCUAACUAUAAUAGAAUUUUAACUAAAAUCUAAUUAGACUAUAAUAAUAUUAAGCAAGCUUUAAUCAAAUUAAAAAAAAACCUCAAAGAAAUUUCAAAGAAUCAAUAAAAAAUCUUAAAGAAAUACUAGAAUGAUCACAAAUAUCUCUCAAAUACAUCUCAAUUCAAUCUUAAUUUAAUUCUAGUUAAAAUCCUAUUGGACUUCAUUCAAAUUUUAGGCCAAAACUAAUUAAAUCUUAAAUCCUAAUAAAAUCCUAAAUCCUAAAUCAAAUCCUAAAUCCUAAACAAACCUUAAACCAAAUCCCAACCAAAUCCUAAACCAAACCCUGAAUCCUAAAUCAAACCCUAAUCAAAUCCUAAUCCAAACUCUAAAUCCUAAAUCAAACCCUAAUCAAAUCCUAAUCUUAAAUCAAAUCCUAAUAAAACUCUAAAUCAAACCCUAAAUCCUAAAUAAAACCCUAAUCAAAUCUUAAUCCAAACUCUAAAAUCUAAAUUAAACCCUAACAAAUUCCUAACCCUAAAUCAAAUCCUAACCAAACUCUAAACCCUAAACCAAUCCCCAACCAAGCCCUAAUAAUUGCUACAAUAGAUUUAAACCUCAAUAAUUAAUGAAUAAACCAUUGAUCUUAAUUCAAAAUUUUCAAACUUCUUAAAAAAUAAGUUGAAAAAAAACACAAAAAAUUUGAAAAGGAUCGAAAUUACCAAAUAGACGAUAACCUCAAAAAUGUGCUUGGAUAUUGGCGAACCUCUUUUUCCAACCUUGAUACCAAUCUUUCAAAGCCAAUAUCUCUCUUUUUCACCAUUCGAUUGAUCUCAAAAUUCUCAUAUAUAUAGAAAAAUAAGUCAAAUAUCUUUUCACACAAAUUUCAUUCCAAUCCAACUAGUAGAUUGCAAGAAAUCUUAAAAACCCUUAUUAGACCUAAAAAUCUAUUUUCUGAGACCUUAAUCCACUAAAACCUCAAUAAUCCUCAAUUCAACCAUUAGAUGGAGCUCAAAUUUACAAAAAAUAUUAAACACAACUAAAAACAUAAAUCCACAAAAUUUCACCUGUAGAUCUAUUACAAAACUAUUGAAAUCACCCAAUAUGUAAACCCUAUUUUAUUUCAUAAAAUCCAAGUCAUCCAAAAUAAACUUUGACUUUGCAAAGCUCUUACAAAGUCAUAACAACUCCAAAUUGC